AAAUUGAAUCUUCGAUACAUUGAGUCGAUGAAGAAUUCUUGUCCCUAUUAUAUUAAUAUUUUUUUUUUUAAUUAUAGUAUUUAAAUAUGAAGUUGGAAUUGAACCACACCCUCAAAACUGAACUCAACUCAUAAGAACUAAAUUGGAAGAAAUUUAUAAUUUAACCAAAUAUUAAAAUAAGAUAACUUAAUUAUUCAUAUUUUGAGUUUGCUUCUCUCUGUUAGAUUGUAUGGAAUAUCAGUAUUUCAUUGAUGAUUCAUUGAUAAUAAUGACAGAUUACAACCCUAUAUAUAACCAUAUUAAAACACACUAAAGGAAAGAAUAUACAAGAAUAAUAUAAUAUUUCAUAAGAAUAAUAUUUCCUAAAAAUACUCUAAUUAUGUCAAUAUCCUCCCUCAAACUCAAGGUUAUCACAAACUUGAGUUUGUUAGAAAAACUUACUAAACAAAUCAGUAAAUCUAGGAUAUCAAGAACCCACGAAGAAGAAAAACACAAGGAACUUCUAGGUUGGAGACAGAUCCCACAAAGAACAAAACGAAGAACUUCUGGGAUGGAGAUAGAUCCCACGAAGAACAAAAGGAAGAACUUAUGGGAUGGAGAUAUAGAUCCUCGAUCUAUAACAGAACCUACAAAGAACAUACCGAACUUCUGAGUCGGAGAAAUAAUUACUGAUUUGAAAACAGAAUAUAUAUAUAUAUAUAUAUAUAGAUCGAGAUAGCGAAGAAAAGGAUCGAGAUAGAGACGGAGUGUUAUAAUGUUGAGGAGGGAACGUCAGUGGAGAGUAGCCAAACCCUAAAUGCAAACAUGAAGCAUAAACAAGUAAUGGGAUUUGAUCCUGAAGAGGAAAGAGGGUGGUGAGGAUAUUCCGGCUGUUCCACGACGACUUGGAGUUGACGGCUUGGAUCGGAGAUCUGAACGGAGGUGGGGCGGAGCGGAUUUGAAGGGCGGCGAUGGUGGCUGAUGCGAGAAGCUUCGUGCAGCUGACGUGGGUUGCAAAGGAACGGGCGAGGAAUGGCAGAUCUGAAGGCAGCGGCAGCGGCGUCUGAAGUUGGGGGCGGCAACGGACGUGGGUCGCAAGCGACUAGCGGCAGAUGGAUUUUUAGGGAAUUGUGGGGGCGGAUUUUUUUUUUUCUUCUUCGUAUAAAAUCAUUCUUUCCCAUAGUUUUAGCUAAAGCUAUAUAAUCCAUAUGAUAAUUUCAUAAUUAUACCGAAGAUGGAGUACUCUUUAAUUUAUUUGUUUUUAUAAGUUAAACCAACUUUUGGUAUAAAAUGACAUACUACUUUAGUAAUAAAUUAACAACAUAUUCUACCUAUUAAAUUAGAGUGAAAAAAGUUGACCAAAGAUACACGUCCAUACCACUUUAUUCAUCUUUUUGUAUUAUUUUUUAAGUAGGGCAGCAAUUAGAAUUUAAGGUUUGGUGUUAAUGUAAAAAAAUUCGGAGAUAUAAUCUAACUUAAAUUUGGUUCGUAAUUGAUACCCUUAAUUAUUAUUCCUAAAGUGAUAUAAAUUGCAAUUAAGGUUUUAGAAUAGAAUUACGUUUCAAUUCUAAAGAUUAAAAGAAUGUGUCUACAGAAAAUGAAGGAAAAAUAUUAUUGCAAAUUAAAUAUAGUAAAAUUUUAAAUUAUAUUAAUGAUAAAUAGUAUAGUUAUAUAUUUGUAAUUGUAAUUUUAAUAUAUUUUUAAAACACACAAAAGAGAUUAAAAAAUUACAAACAUAUACCGAUCAUGAAGUCCAUAUAUAUCUGUCCUCUCCCUCUAAGCUUGAACUCUCUACGGUGACCAAAAAGAGAGAAUGGCUCAAAUGGUUGCGACCCAGAUAGGAAGAAGCUCCUCAUCCAUUGAGGAGGACGGCGAUGGUGACGUUGAAGAUGCUUCACUUUGGGCGGAAAUCGAGAGGUUGCCAACAUUCGAACGGUUGAGAUUAUCGUUGUUCGACAUUAGCGACGACGAAGGAGAGGUGAAAGAGAAAAGGAGAAGAGUUGCAGAUGUUACUAAACUCAGUAACAAGGAGCGCCGUUUAUUUAUCGAGAAACUCAUAAAAAAUGUUAAGAAGGAUAAUCUUAAGCUCUUGACUGAAGUUCGAGAUAGAAUCCACAAGGUUGGUGAGAAAUUUCCAACGGUGGAAGUGAAGUAUAAAAAUGUGCAUAUUGAAGCAGAGUGUGAGGUUGUUCAUGGGAAAGCCAUUCCAACACUUUGGAAUUCUCUUCAAAGCAAGCUUUAUGACAUCAUCAAAUUUUGUGGUGUAAAGUCUCAUAAAGCCAAAAUUGACAUAAUCGAGGAUGUGAGUGGAAUUAUAAAGCCUGGAAGGUUAACUUUGCUACUUGGUCCUCCCGGGUGUGGGAAAACCACACUACUAAAGGCCCUUUCUGGAAAUCUUAACAAAUCUCUCAAGUUUAGUGGAGAAAUUUGUUACAAUGGACAUAAACUUGAAGAAUUUGUCCCCCAAAAAACUUCAGCAUAUGUUAGUCAGCAUGACCUACAUAUUCCUCAAAUGACCGUAAGGGAAACCCUAGAUUUUUCGGCCAGGUGUCAAGGCAUCGGAAGUCGAGCAGAUAUUAUGAAGGAGAUUAUCAAAAAGGAGAAGGAACAAGGGAUUAUUCCAAAUCCUGAUAUUGAUAUUUACAUGAAGGCCAUUUCCAUUGAAGGACUAAAACACAGUCUUCAAACUGAUUACAUACUCAAGAUAUUUGGACUUGAUGUUUGUGGUGACACUCUAGUAGGGGAUGCCAUGAGGAGAGGUAUUUCAGGGGGUCAAAAGAAAAGAUUAACUACAGGAGAAAUGAUGGUUGGUCCAAACAAAGCUUUGUUCAUGGAUGAAAUCACAAAUGGAUUAGACAGUUCCACUGCCUUCCAAAUCAUUUCAUGCCUACAAAACUUAGCUCAUCUUACAAAUGCUACAAUUCUUAUCUCUCUUCUUCAACCAGCUCCCGAAACCUUCGAACUUUUUGAUGAUUUGAUCUUGAUGGCACAAAAAAAGAUUGUAUAUCAAGGUCGUCGUGACCGAGUUCUCGACUUCUUUGAACACUGUGGAUUCAAAUGCCCCAAAAGGAAAAGCACUGCAGAUUUUCUUCAAGAGGUGCUUUCAAGGAAAGAUCAACCACAAUUUUGGUAUCGUAACCAAACUCCUUAUGCAUAUGUUUCUAUUGACACAUUGAGUACAAAGUUCAAGCAUUGGAAUAACAAUAAUAAUUUAGAAAGAAAGGCGGAAGAGGAGAUUUUGAAACCCUAUGAUAAUGAUGAUCAAGAAGAUCAAUAUUAUUCAAAAGAUGAUGAUGGUAUUUUGUUGAAUAUUGGGAAGAUCAAUAAUUAUAGUGUUUCUAAAUGGCAAGUGUUUAAAGCUUGUGCAUCAAGGGAAUUCCUCCUCAUGAGAAGAAAUUCAUUUGUUUACGUCUUCAAAAUAAGUCAGCUUUUCUUGAUUGCUUCAAUCACAAUGACAGUGUUUAUAAGGACAGAAAUGAAAAUAGAUGUUGAACAUGGAAACUACUACAUGGGAGCCUUAUUCUAUUCUCUCCUUAUGCUCCUAGUUGAUGCAUUGCCUGAAUUGGCAAUGACUAUCCAAAGACUUGAAGUUUUCUACAAACAAAAACAGUUACUGUUUUAUCCACCUUGGGCUUAUGUAAUUCCACCUGCCAUUUUGAAGCUCCCUCUCUCACUUCUUCAAUCCUUUGUAUGGACUUCUCUUACUUAUUAUGUCAUCGGUUACACCCCCGAGGUCUCCAGGUUCUUUCGACAUUUUCUUGUGUUGUUUGCGCUGCACGUAUCUUCAUUAUCCAUGUUUCGAAUGAUGGCUUUAGUCAAUCAACAAAUUGUUGCUUCUACAGUUAGCAGUUUUGUAAUAUUACAAAUCAUGAUAUUUGGUGGUUUCAUCAUCUCUCAUCCCUCAAUGUCAGCUUGGUUGCGAUGGGGAUUUUGGGUUUCACCAAUUAGCUAUGGAGAAAUUGGGCUUUCUAUCAAUGAAUUUCUUGCUCCAAGAUGGCAGAAGAUUCAAGGUUCGAACGUUACAAUAGGACAUAUAAUUCUUCAAAGUCGAGGACUCGAUUAUCAUCAAUACUUCUACUGGAUUUCACUCGCAGCUUUGUUUGGAUUUGCUCUCCUUUUCAAUUUUGGAUUUGCCUUAGCUCUUACUUUCCUCAAUCCUCCUGGAUCUUCCACUGCCAUUAUCUCAUAUGAAAAGCUCUCACAAUCUAACAUCAAUGCCGAUGCUAAUUCUGCCCAAAGCCCUCUUUCUUCUCCUAAGACCUCCAUAGAAUCGACCAAAGGUGGAAUAGCAUUGCCUUUCAGACCUUUAACAGUAGUGUUUCGAGAUUUGCAGUAUUAUGUGGACAUGCCAUCGGGAAUGAGAGAGAGGGGUUUUACUCAGAAGAAACUCCAGCUUCUUUCUGAUAUUACAGGGGCUAUAAGGCCUGGGAUACUCACAGCCCUGAUGGGUGUCAGUGGAGCUGGGAAAACAACUUUGCUUGAUGUUCUUGCAGGAAGAAAAACAAGUGGAUACAUCGAAGGAGAAAUCAAAAUCGGUGGUUUUCCAAAAGUUCAAGAAACAUUUGCUAGGGUAUCUGGUUACUGUGAACAAACUGAUGUACAUUCUUCUCAAAUAACUGUUGAAGAAUCUCUGUUCUUCUCUGCUUGGCUCCGUUUGGCACCUGAAAUUGACUCAAAAACAAAAGCACAAUUUGUGAAUGAAGUCCUUGAGACCAUUGAACUUGAUAGCAUAAAGGAUUCCUUAGUUGGGAUACCUGGUGUCAGUGGUCUAUCAACCGAGCAGCGUAAACGUUUAACCAUAGCUGUGGAGCUUGUUUCCAACCCCUCUAUCAUUUUCAUGGAUGAGCCUACCACUGGUUUAGAUGCAAGAGCAGCUGCAAUUGUCAUGCGAGCAGUCAAGAAUGUGGCUGAUACUGGAAGAACGAUCGUUUGUACCAUCCAUCAGCCAAGUAUUGACAUAUUUGAAUCUUUUGAUGAGUUAAUUCUUCUGAAAACUGGCGGUCGUAUGAUCUACUAUGGACCAUUGGGACAAGAUUCAAAUCAGGUCAUAGAAUAUUUCGAGCAUGUUCCCGGGGUUUCAAGGAUUAGAGAAAACUACAAUCCUGCAACUUGGAUAUUAGAGAUUACCUCUUCAGCUGCAGAAGCUAAACUUGGCAUAGAUUUUGCUCUAGUGUAUAAGAACUCUUCUCUGUAUGAGAACAACAAAGAACUUGUUAAGCAGCUGAGUGCUCCAUCUCCUGGUUCAAGAGAUUUGCACUUUUCAAAUGUCUUUGCACAAAAUUUCGCUAGACAGUUCGGGGCUUGCCUUUGGAAACAAAACUUGUCUUAUUGGAGGAAUCCUCGCUAUAACUUGCUGCGUAUCUUGCAUACUGUUGCGUCAUCUUUGAUUUUUGGGAGAAAACCAACAGGACUUGUUCAACAACUUUGGCGUAAUGUACUCUAGCGUUGUUUUCAUGGGCAUUUACAAUUGUUCAUCAGUCUUUCCUAAUGUAUCAAGGGAGAGAACUGUCAUGUACAGGGAAAGGUUUGCUGGAAUGUAUUCCCCAUGGGCUUAUUCACUUGCACAGGUGAUUAUUGAGGUUCCCUACGUAUUUGUACAAGCAGCUAUCUAUGUUAUUAUCACCUAUCCAAUGAUUGGAUUCUACGGCUCUGCAUGGAAAAUAUUUUGGUGUUUCUACUCAAUGUUCUUUGCCCUUCUCUAUUUCAAAAGUCUUGGG